rnacentral:rRNA from 1 species
GAUGAACGCUGGCGGCGUGCUUAACACAUGCAAGUCGAACGGAGUUGAUUUAAGGAAGCAAGCUUGCUUGAAGAAUUGAAUUAACUUAGUGGCGGACGGGCGAGUAACACGUGAGCAACCUGCCUCUUACAGGGGAAUAACAACGGGAAACCGUUGCUAAUACCGCAUAAUAUGUUGAAAGGGCAUCCUUUUAACAUCAAAGGAGCAAUCCGGUAAGAGAUGGGCUCGCGUCCGAUUAGCUAGUUGGUAGGGUAACGGCCUACCAAGGCGACGAUCGGUAGCCGGACUGAGAGGUCGAACGGCCGCAUUGGGACUGAGACACGGCCCAGACUCCUACGGGAGGCAGCAGUGGGGAAUAUUGGGCAAUGGGCGAAAGCCUGACCCAGCAACGCCGCGUGAGUGAUGAAGGCCUUCGGGUUGUAAAACUCUUUGGACAGGGACGAAGAAAGUGAC